rnacentral:rRNA from 1 species
AUUGAACGCUGGCGGCAUGCCUUACACAUGCAAGUCGAACGGCAGCACGGGGCAACCUGGUGGCGAGUGGCGAACGGGUGAGUAAUGCAUCGGAACGUACCUUUCAGUGGGGGAUAACGUAGCGAAAGUUACGCUAAUACCGCAUAUUCUGUGAGCAGGAAAGCAGGGGAUCGCAAGACCUUGCGCUGAUUGAGCGGCCGAUGUCAGAUUAGCUAGUUGGUGAGGUAAAGGCUCACCAAGGCGACGAUCUGUAGCGGGUCUGAGAGGAUGAUCCGCCACACUGGGACUGAGACACGGCCCAGACUCCUACGGGAGGCAGCAGUGGGGAAUUUUGGACAAUGGGCGAAAGCCUGAUCCAGCAAUGCCGCGUGCAGGACGAAGGCCUUCGGGUUGUAAACUGCUUUUGUACGGAACGAAAAGACACUGGCUAAUACCUGGUGUUGAUGACGGUACCGUAAGAAUAAGCACCGGCUAACUACGUGCCAGCCGCCGCAGUAAUAC